UUGAAUUAUGUUUUCUAGAUGGGUUGUUGCUGGUUCUCUAGGGAACAUGUGCACGCCUUGUCAUCUUUAUAUCUCCACCUGUGCACUUUUUGUAGGCCUUUCCAGGUCUAUGUUGCUUCAUUUUACCCCAACUGUAUGUCAUUAGAAUGUUGUGCCUAUAUAACAUAUA
rnacentral:misc_RNA from 1 species